rnacentral:sRNA from 1 species
AACUCGGUCAGGUCGUGGGGAGGUCGC